CUAUUUAUUGUUACGCUUCAGCCUCGGAAAAUAUUUGUUUAUUCAGAGAUGGUCUUUCAACCCUGGAGUUUUUGACUGCACUACAGCAACACCCUACUUUGCUGGCCCCUGUCAUGUGCCACUCUGAAAGGCGACUCACUGCUUUUGAACUUGAGAGACUCUUCAAACCUGACCUCAGUCCUUCGGGGAGUAAUCGAAGACUUAAAGAAAGUCAAACCAUGGCCUACUGGGCAGACUAUCUCCUUGAUUGUGAAGAAGGCCAGGCUGCUGUGUCUGUGGAAGAUGUUUUGAUGUUUGCUACUGGGCUGUCUUCACUUCCCCCAUCUGGCUUGGAACCACUGCCUCAAAUAGAGUUCCUGGAGGACUCUGCGUUCCCAAUGGCAAAUACAUGUUCAAACUCCUUGAGAUUACCACUCCUAGACUCAUACACUUUGUUUAAGUCACAAAUGGACUUUGGAAUUCAAAAUAGUCCAGGAUUCGGCUGUUUCUAAGCUAUAUGAUGGAUGACCCCUAGAGUUAAGACUCUGAAAAAGUUGUUGUUGUUAAAGGUUAGGGUUGGGCAUCAUUUAGAUUUUAACGAUUCUGAUUCCAAUUCCGAUUCUUCCUUUUGAUUCCGGUUCUUAUCGAUUCUCGAUUCCGAUUCUUUGAGUGGUGGAGUUGAAACGGGUCACAUGCUUAUUUCACAAAUAAGAGGAAAGUUUUAUUUUGAUUCAAAGGUGGGUUGCAGUUUGAUGGGGCUUUUUCAAUGUAAAAUAAAGCCACACUAGAGCACCGCUUACUGUGCUCCAUGGCUGCAACACAACAAGCACCUGGCCGCUACAGACCAAAACUUGCGCAUGUUAAAUUUGGAACCCAUGAUCAGAUUUGAAACCCAAUCCUCCAAAACGAUUCCAAUAAAGAAACAAUUCCGAUGGAAUCGUAAUUGUUUUAAACUAUUCCAAGUAGGAAUUGGUUCUUGAUGCCCAACCCUAUUAAAGGUGCACUUUUAAAGUGCAGUUGCCAAAGUUGUUUUUAUAAUGUUACUGUAUGUGAGCAUGUUCUUUUCUCACAGUAAACAUUUUGAAAAUGUUUUAGAUCCAUUACUCUCAAUACUACAAAAGUGUAAUAAAUACUGAUUACUA